GACGAACGCUGGCGGCGUGCUUAACACAUGCAAGUCGAACGAAGCACUUUUAUUUGAUUUCUUCGGAAUGAAGAUUUUAGUGACUGAGUGGCGGACGGGUGAGUAACGCGUGGGUAACCUGCCUCAUACAGGGGGAUAACAGUUAGAAAUGACUGCUAAUACCGCAUAAGACCACAGCACCGCAUGGUGCCGGGGUAAAAACUCCGGUGGUAUGAGAUGGACCCGCGUCUGCUUAGGUAGUUGGUGGGGUAACGGCCUACCAAGCCGACGAUCAGUAGCCGACCUGAGAGGGUGACCGGCCACGUUGGGACUGAGACACGGCCCAAACUCCUACGGGAGGCAGCAGUGGGGAAUAUUGCACAAUGGGGGAAACCCUGAUGCAGCGACGCCGCGUGAGCGAUGAAGUAUUUCGGUAUGUAAAGCUCUAUCAGCAGGGAAGAAAGUGACGGUACCUGACUAAGAAGCACCGGCUAAAUACGUGCCAGCCGCCGCAGUAA
rnacentral:rRNA from 1 species